UUCACAUAUAGUCUGUCAGAGGGGAAAGUGUUUUAUGAAUCUGCUGCUGCUCACCUCGACUGCUCACCUGAAGAGGCGGGGCAAUCUGCAGAGGGGGCGGGCCCACCUGUGGUGACUGAGACACCUGUGUCUGAGCUGGGGAUAGGCCCAGAGUCAGGCCUGACACGUGACAUAACAGCUGCCUUCAAAACCUUCAGAGCACAGCUGGAUGAACAACUCACUGGCCACUGGCAGAAAGUCGAAGGUGAAAUUCUUCAUUCGCUAAAGGAGUGUCAACAGCACGUGUCUGCACUGCUCACAGCUGUCCAUCAGCACAGGUUAUUGUUGCUGCAGAAGUUGGAAAGCAGCAUCUUUGAUCAGGUGAAGCAACUUGAAGAAGACUCAUCAAACCUGAACUCCUUAAGCACUCAGAUCCAG